GUAGUGAUGACAUUCCACUUAAAGCACAUGUUAGACUGCUGAUUCUGGUGGUGCCAGUUGGAGUCUGAGC